GACAAAUAGGUAUUUCUAUUUUUCUUUCUUGCUCUCUUUUUCCUUCUCCUCUUUUUCCUUUGCCUCCUUGGCCGCUUUCUCCUUGUCUUCUUUCUCGUGUUUCCUAAAUUCUGACAAGAUGAUAUAAAGGCUACCAAAGAAUAGAGUGCAAAAUAUGAU
rnacentral:ribozyme from 15 species